rnacentral:rRNA from 1 species
GAUGAACGCUGGCGGCGUGCUUAACACAUGCAAGUCGAACGGAAAGGCCCUGCUUUUGUGGGGUUCUCGAGUGGCGCACGGGUGUGAAACACGUGAGUAUCCCGCCCUUGACUUUGUGAUAUCUUCAGGAAACUGCGGCUAAUACCUGAUAGGAGCUCCUGCAGCAUGGUGGGGGUUGGAAAGUUUCGGCCGUUGGGGAUCGACUCGCGGGUUAUUAGCUUGUUGGUGGGGUAGUGGCUUACCCAGGCUUAGACGGGUAGUCGGCAUGGGAGGGUGAACGGGCACAUGGGGACUGAGAUACGGACCAGACUCCUACGGGAGGCGGCAGUGGAGAGUAUUGCACAGUGGGCGGGAGCGUGAUGCGAAGACGCCGCGUGCGGGAUGACGGCCUACGGGGUGUAAACCGCUUUCGCCUGAGACGAAGCGUGAGUGACGGUAAUGAGUAAAGAAGCACCGGCUAACUACGUG